GCUCUUAUGGUGUAAUGGUUAGCACUCUUGGACUCUGAAUCCAGCGAUCCGGGUUCAAAUCCCGGUAGGAGCU
rnacentral:tRNA from 1 species